GGCCAGAGAGACCUCUGGGCUAGUUAAGGGGGAACCCUAUGAAUAGAGACAUGUCGGCUCAAUUUGUAGACGAGGGUAACUCCGGAGAGCAGACCCAGCACUUGGAUGCUAAAUCCAUCAGUUUGAUGUCCAGCUUGGACAGGGGCCGUUUUGCGGUUCUCAGGGGUAGAAACCAACUAGGCGAUACCUAUAAGUCAUAUCGGUCCAUUCCCAGUGGGAAUUUAGUCUUCUCCGCUUUCCAAGCGGUAACGUGCCGUUCGUCCCAAGGAAACAUCUGUUUCCGCGUGUCACCGACACCCACUGGUUAGUCCCAGAUAGAGUGCAAACCCCGUGUCAGGUGUUUGCGGUGUCCUUUCCGGACUCCGUCAUGAAGACU